rnacentral:rRNA from 1 species
UACAGAGGGUGCAAGCGUUAAUCGGAAUUACUGGGCGUAAAGCGCGCGUAGGUGGUUUGUUAAGUUGGAUGUGAAAGCCCCGGGCUCAACCUGGGAACUGCAUUCAAAACUGACAAGCUAGAGUAUGGUAGAGGGUGGUGGAAUUUCCUGUGUAGCGGUGAAAUGCGUAGAUAUAGGAAGGAACACCAGUGGCGAAGGCGACCACCUGGACUGAAUAACUGACACUGGAGGUGCGAAAGCGUGGGGAGCAAACAGG